rnacentral:rRNA from 1 species
CAAAUGUUCUUCGUGAACAUGGCGUACUGCUCAGUAACACGUGGAUAACCUGCCCUUAGGUCUGGCAUAACCCCGGGAAACUGGGGAUAAUUCCGGAUAGAUCAUCGAUGCUGGAAUGCGCUUUGAUCCAAAGCUAUUGUGCCUAAGGAUGGGUCUGCGGUCUAUCAGGUUGUAGUGGGUGUAAUGUACCUACUAGCCUACGACGGAUACGGGUUGUGGGAGCAAGAGCCCGGAGAUGGAUUCUGAGACAUGAAUCCAGGCCCUACGGGGCGCAGCAGGCGCGAAAACUUUACAAUGCGGGGAACCGCGAUAAGGGGACACCGAGUGCCAGCAUCCUAUGUUGGCUGUCCAUAUGUCUAAAUCACAUGUGUUAGCAAGGGCCGGGCAAGACCGGUGCCAGCCGCCGCGGUAACACCGGCGGCCCGAGUGGUGGCCACUAUUAUUGGGUCUAAAGGGUCCGUAGCCGGUUUGGUCAGUCUUCCGGGAAAUCUGACGGCUCAACCGUUAGGCUUUCGGGGGAUACUACCAGGCUUGGGACCGGGAGAGGUAAGAGGUACUACGGGGGUAGGAGUGAAAUCUUGUAAUCCCUGUGGGACCACCAGUGGCGAAGGCGUCUUACCAGAACGGGUCCGACGGUGAGGGACGAAAGCUGGGGGCACGAACCGGAUUAGAUACCCGGGUAGUCCCAGCUGUAAACUAUGCUCGCUAGGUGUCAGGGACGGUGCGACCGUUUCUGGUGCCGCAGGGAAGCCGUGAAGCGAGCCACCUGGGAAGUACGGUCGCAAGGCUGAAACUUAA